UGUAAGGUUUUUCUAAAAACCAUAGAUAUUGUUUAAAUAUUCAAAG
rfam:Pteropus alecto contig25545, whole genome shotgun sequence.